rnacentral:tRNA from 1 species
GAAAGCAAGUACUGAUCUCUUAAAUCAUUUUAUAGUAAUUUAGCAAUUACUUCUAGUAUAAAGAAUUA